rnacentral:rRNA from 1 species
AACCUCCGCAAUGUGAGMAAUCGCGACGGGGGGACCCCAAGUGCCAUUCUUAACGGGAUGGCUUUUCUUGAGUGUAAAAAGCUCUUGGAAUAAGAGCUGGGCAAGACCGGUGCCAGCCGCCGCGGUAACACCGGCAGCUCUAGUGGUAGCCAUUUUUAUUGGGCCUAAAGCGUUCGUAGCCGGUUUAAUAAGUCUCUGGUGAAAUCCUACAGCUUAACUGUGGGAAUUGCUGGAGAUACUAUUAGACUUGAGGUCGGGAGAGGUUAGAGGUACUCCCAGGGUAGGG